rnacentral:misc_RNA from 1 species
UCUCCGUUGGUGAACCAGCGGAGGGAUCAUUACCGAGUCUAACAACUCAUCAACCCUGUGAACAUACCUAAACGUUGCUUCGGCGGGAACAGACGGCCCCGUAACACGGGCCGCCCCCGCCAGAGGACCCCCUAACUCUGUUUCUAUAAAUGUUUUUUCUGAGUAAACAAGCAAAUAAAUUAAAACUUUCAACAACGGAUCUCUUGGCUCUG